GACGAACGCUGGCGGCGUGCUUAGCACAUGCAAGUCGAACGGAAAGGCCUGCUUUCCCUUGUGGAUUGCGGGUACUCGAGUGGCGAACGGGUGAGUAACACGUGAGUGAUCUGCCCCCAACUUGGGUAUAAGCCUGGGAAACUGGGUCUAAUUCCCGAUAGGACUGCAGGGUGGUGCCUGUGGUGGAAAACGAUUUUCUAGUGGUUGGGGAUGAGCUCGCGGCCUAUCAGCUUGUUGGUGGGGUAAUGGCCUACCAAGGCGGCGACGGGUAGCCGGCCUGGGAGGGGGGACGGCCACAUUGGGACUGAGAUACGGCCCAGACGCCUACGGGAGGCAGCAGUGGGGAAUAUUGCACAAUGGGCGGAAGCCUGAUGCAGCGACGCCGCGUGGGGGAUGACGGCCUUCGGGUUGUAAACUCCUUUCGACCGCGAGGAAGCCACCUGGUUGGAAGGGUGGUGACGGUAGUGGGAGAAGAAGCACCGGCUAACUACGUGC
rnacentral:rRNA from 1 species